CUCUUCAUGCUUUUGGUCGCAACCUGGGAGGCACAAUCACAAUGAACGAAAGCAUGGAAAUCAAAAAAUUAGAAUUUGAAGAACCAUGUACGUGUUCAAGUAAAUGGAGAAAGAAGCUAAUAAGAAGACGAAAUUUUGAACUCCAAAAAGCACAGGAGCACCAUUCACCACUUUCGAAGAUUGUAAAUCCCACAAUCUACUGGUUGCAGGCAAGAAUUUGAGAAGGAAAAUGUAAACUCUAAAAUCAAUGGUAACAGAGAAAAGACUCCAAUCUAUGAUCCAUGUGGCAGCUGAAAAUGAAGGAGAAGCGCAGGAAUAGUUAAACUGAACCUGAGUUAAGUUAGUAAUGCUACUUAUAAUAUGUCAUAACAGCCAAUUAUUGUGCAUUACUUGAUGAGUUCAUACUGAUCAGG
rnacentral:misc_RNA from 1 species